GCCUACGGGGGGCAGCAGUAGGGAAUUUUCGUCAAUGGGCGCAAGCCUGAACGAGCAAUGCCGCGUGAACGAGGAGGGUCUUCGGAUCGUAAAGUUCUGUUGAAGGGGAAAAAGAGCGGAGAGAGGAAAUGGUCUCCGAUUGAUAUUACCCUUCGAGGAAGUCACGGCUAACUACGUGCCAGCAGCCGCGGUAAUACGUAGGUGGCGAGCGUUAUCCGGAAUGAUUGGGCGUAAAGGGUGCGUAGGCGGCCUGCUAAGUCUGGAGUGAAAGGUACCGGCUCAACCGGUACAGGCUCUGGAAACUG
rnacentral:rRNA from 1 species